GAUGAACGCCGGCUGUGUGCCUAAUACAUGCAUGUCGAGCGAAGCACUUUUGUGCUUAGCGGCGAAUGGGUGAGUAACACGUACUUAACCUACCCUCAAGAUUGGGACAACACUUGGAAACGAGUGCUAAUACCAAAUACGUAUUUUUAUCGCAUGAUAGAUAUAUAAAAGGAGCUUCGGCUUCACUAGAGGAUGGGAGUGCGCUACAUUAGUUAGUUGGUAGGGUAAUGGCCUACCAAGACUAUGAUGUAUAGCGGGGCCGAGAGGCUGAUCCGCCACACUGGGACUGAGAUACGGCCCAGACUCCUACGGGAGGCAGCAGUAGGGAAUUUUCCACAAUGAACGAAAGUUUGAUGGAGCGACACAGCGUGCAGGAUGAAGGUCUUCGGAUUGUAAACUGCUGUUAUAAGAGAAGAAAAACCCUGGUAGGUAAUGACCAGGACUUGACGGUACCUUAUCAGAAAGCGACGGCUAACUAUGUGCCAGCAGCCGCGGUAAUACAUAGGUCGCAAGCGUUAUCCGGAAUUAUUGGGCGUAAAGAGUUCGUAGGUGGUUUUGUAAGUCUGAAGUUAAAUACCGGGGCUCAACCCCGGCCCGCUUUGGAUACUGCAAAACUAGAGUAAUAGAGAGGUUAGUGGAACUCCAAGUGAAGCGGUGGAAUGCGUAGAUAUUUGGAAGAACACCAAUGGCGAAGGCAACUAACUGGAUAUUAACUGACACUGAGGAACGAAAGCGUGGGUAGCAAACAGG
rnacentral:rRNA from 1 species